rnacentral:rRNA from 1 species
UACGUAGGGCGCAAGCGUUAUCCGGAAUUAUUGGGCGUAAAGAGCUCGUAGGCGGUUUGUCGCGUCUGCCGUGAAAGUCCGGGGCUCAACUCCGGAUCUGCGGUGGGUACGGGCAGACUAGAGUGGAUGUAGGGGAGACUGGAAUUCCUGGUGUAGCGGUGAAAUGCGCAGAUAUCAGGAGGAACACCGAUGGCGAAGGCAGGUCUCUGGGCAUUAACUGACGCUGAGGAGCGAAAGCAUGGGGAGCGAACAGG